rnacentral:rRNA from 1 species
UACGUAGGGCGCAAGCGUUGUCCGGAAUCAUUGGGCGUAAAGGGCGCGUAGGUGGCUCGGUCAGCGUGCGGUGAAAGCUCGGGGCUCAACCCCGAGUCGGCCGUGCGAACUGCUGGGCUUGAGCACUGUAGAGGCAGGCGGAAUUCCGGGUGUAGCGGUGGAAUGCGUAGAGAUCCGGAAGAACACCGGUGGCGAAGGCGGCCUGCUGGGCAGUGGCUGACACUGAGGAGCGAAAGCGUGGGGAGCGAACAGG